UUUUUUUUAACUUUUAAUUUGCAAAUCACAUUUUAGUCAAUAGUUAUGAUGUUUAUAAUUAAUAUUUUCAUCUUACUCUAAUUUCUUUUCACCCACUUUUUUUAUGCAUGGCUAACAACCGACACCUUCCCUCGGAUAUGUCACUACUCCGCCUUCAACAUGAAGAUAUUACGAAGGACUUAUGGGAAGGCAACGAACGAGUUCUUAGACCACGACGAGCUGGAGUCUGGAUUCUAAACAACCAAGAUUUAAUAUAUCCGCGUGUCAAAUAUUUAAUGGAACAUGCUGGUCUUGGACACGCAUUGUAUAUUCCAGACAUGGAUGUCAACCACAUUCUAAUCACUUCCUUAUUAGAAAGGUGGAGGACAAAAACUCAUACAUUCCAUUUCCCACAUGGAGAGACCAUUGUGACAUUAGAGGGUGUGAUAGUCCUCCUUGGCCUACCGAUAGAUGGAGAUGUGGUCACCGAUCCCACCAUCGUGGAAGACAUAUUCUCGACGUUCCACGAACAUCUGAGGAUAAUUCCAUCACCGACGGUGAUAAGAGGAAACUCAAUUAGAGUUUCUUGGUUAAAUAGUACUUUCCAACAACUCCGAUAGAAUGCAAACAACAAUGUUAUUGCUCAAUAUGCAAUAAAGUACAUACUAACAUUGAUUGGAAGCAUUUUAAUGCCAGACACGUCUGUUGCAAGGGUACAUGUGAUGUAUCUACUCAAGCUAGCUGACUUGAAUGUAGUCAGCAAUUAUAGUUAGGGGUCUGCAGUUUUGGCCUAUUUAUAUCGUGGCCUAGAUCAUGGCAUUCACCUAAGGCAAGAAAAUAUUGGUGGAUGCAUGAUUUUGUUACAAUGUUGGGCUUGGGAGAGGAUCACUUUUAUAGCUCCACAACUUGACCCUUUAAGUGAUGAGGAAGUGGCUGCAUGUGAUGGUUUCCCCGUAUGCAGAAGGUGGAUGAACCAAGUAGAUCAGAGAAAUGCUGGUUCUUUAUCAAUUAGUGAAUUUCGUUUGAAAUUUGAUCAAAUUCGUACAAGAUAGUUCUUGUGGAGGCCUUACAUUCAAAACGAAGUUCGUCGGUUGAUUAUGGUUGACAUCCCUAUAGUGGCUAGAGCAACAGUCCCUAUAAUUUGCUUCGCGACAGUCAAAUUUCAUCAAGCGGAUAGGGUCAUGCGUCAAUUUGGUUUAAGACAAAAUAUCCUGCCUGACCUGAUCAACCUGGAUCAAGUCCACAAGGAUGACUUGAGGGGGAGAAAUGAAAGAGAUUGGGUGACACAUCAUCACCGUUGGAUUGCAAUUUGGAAUGACCGACAAAAUCGGGUCAUUCAAGGUACACCAUUUAGCGGAAACGACCAUUUGCGUGAUGAAACACCUUACAUGCAAUGGUAUAUAAACCACACUAUCCGCUAUAUAUCUCCAAAUCCAGAAUCUUCCGACGAUGAGUAUGAUAUGUCACAAGAACCAUCUCAACCUGCUUCACAACCCUACACUGGUCAUGUCGAGUCUUCUCCAGAUUUUAUACAUCAUCCCCAAAAAAUUUUUGGGCACUCGUCUAUGGGUCACGGUCAAAUGUUUGGACAUUCAUACCUCAGUUUGGCAACCCAUCAAACACCCAAUUCCAACAUGUCCCUUCCUCGUACGAUUUCUUCCCGCAUCAGUCAGGUUAUGGUGCUGGUCCAUCACAGAUGUUUGGCACUUCAACCAUGACACCACCAUCCGCCUAUUGUCUAGGAUCUUCGUCAUCAAUGUCAUUCUAUCCUUUGCCAAUGCCUUCUCAAACUCCCCAAACAACGGUUCACCAUCCCCAAUUUUCUCAAAGUCAUCAACUUGAAGAUGAUGAUCAUGAUGAACCACACCAAGAACAACUACCAACACGACCAACCAGACCCAUCAGACGACCUCCAUGUGGAACUAGAGG